GGAGGUUUGGCUCAGUGGUAGAGCAUUGGCUUUGCCUGUAGAAGGUCCCAGGUUCAGUCACUGGUGUUGUUUCCA